AAUGGAAGUUGAUGUUCACUGCUCCUGCAGAUCAGGAAGGCUUGCAUUUACUAAAGGCUGGAUUGGAAUCGCUCGCCAUAUGAAGCUUCUCAACGCUGGUGAUGUCGUUACCUUGCACAGGGAAGACCAAGGUGGGUACAAAAUGACAGUGAGAAGAAGUGCAAAUCGCGCCUA